UCUACCGAAUGCAUCGUCACAAUUCCGUAACUGUUUCUGUCAUAGCAAUUGUUGCCACAAUUGUUGUUGACUUCACUAAACAGACAGGAGCUCACGUUCUACAAUCGAACGCCAAAUUCCAUGCUAGGCGACUGUUUCUGUUUUUGUUCAAACUCGACGAUUGGCCACACGAUGGUCUACUAGAUACUAGAUUGUCUAGAUUGGAAGUAAAACAAAAUAGGUUAUCGCAAUCACGCAGUAUUGACACAUAUGCCUGCAUGUUCUGGCCUAUAUUCUACAACAAACGGGCCAGACUAACAUAGCACAACGUUGGCAGGAUGCGACAGGAUAGCGAUAUUAAUACGACAGUGUUUAGUUGGCAAAACCUAGUAGUGCUGCGCUCGACGCAUAGUAGCGGUAAUGAAAUAAGGGUUCGGGACCUUGGACAGCAACCCGCACAUAUGACCCAGUGUAUGGCCAAUGCUAUCGGUUUUUAGAGGCUUUUCACCAGGCCCGAGCAAGUCAGUGAGUGAAGUGGGGAGGAUAGGUCCACAAGACCACACUGGUUCCAGGGUACCCUCUUCAGUCUUUUCCCAGCCUUCACCAGGAUCAUGGGGCUUGGGACACCAGAAUGUCGGUGUGGCUGCUCUCUUGUAUAUAGCCAGGCGGUGGUUGACACGGUUGAUGUGUGGGACCAGGUUGUCUCUGCAGUGCGGGAGCUGGGACACAUCCACCUUGGAUCUGGUGGAUCCGCCUGUGUUUUCCGGUCCCAAUGUCGACGUAGAUGGUCAGCGGGACGGAUUAGCCGUGGUGUAGAAGGAUGAAGAAAAUGUCUGUGUCUGGAGUCCUCAGCACAGCCACCUUGUGCACCAGUUGAGCGGCAUACAGCAGGUGCAGAACAACCCGGGUGUCAGUCUCUUCCUAGGUUGACUCCACCUGAGGUAUCUCACAUGUGGUCACCUGAAACAAGUUAUUGAGUGACUUUUGACUUUUUAAAUUUAAUUUAUAUAGUGUAUUUAGUUUUUUUAGUUUUCUUUUCUUCUACUGUCUUUAUUGUACAGUGGAGUUUAGUUAUAUGUUUAUACUUAUACUUAUGUUUACCAUUUCUGCUGUAAGUGCAUGUUGUGUGUGAUGUCUGUAUGCUACUGAGACCCUUGAAUUUCCCCUUGGGGAUCAAUAAAGUAUCUAUCUAUCUAUCUACCUGAUAUACUGUAACGUUGCACCCACAAUGAGACUCAAUGGGGGACACCACCCACCUCCACAAGGUCCUUUUGAACAUGUGAUGAUGGAUUUUAUACAAUUGGACAAAUGCAGAGGCUAUGAAUAUUGUUUGGUGUUGGUUGAUAUGUUAACAUGCCAACGCCCAAGGUUAUCAAAUUGUUAAAAUGUUUGUCUGACACUUAACUCAAUGAUCAAAUCCAAAUUGGCAAAAAUCACAGCUCCUACUGGAAUGGACUGGGUCAGUGCGCUCCCCUUGGUUCUCCUUCACCUCCGUGCACGAGCGACGCAAUCUACUGGGCUAAGUCCAUUUGAAAUCCUCACCGCCUGUCCCAUGUCAAUCCCUAGCUUGCCUUCGCCGCCUAACUUGGAACAUGUUGAUAACUCGAUUUCUAGUUAUAUGCGAGGACUGAUAUCUGCCUUGUCGUCUUUGUCUCAACAGGUGCAGUCGGCGUUACCCGAAAGCUUCCAGACGACACAUCCCAUUGAACCUGGCGCAUGGAUUCUCGUGAAGGACUUGAGAAGAAAACACUGGAACCAGGAGAGAUGGCAUGGACCUUAUGAGGUCAUCCUGUCAACGCCAACGGCUGUGAGAAUUGUGGAAAGAGACACUUGGGUUCACCUAUCACGCUGCAGGCACGUCAAGAACCCUGAACACUACAUAAACUGAGUGCCACCAUCGCAGAACACGGGUCACAUAAGCUACCUGGCAACACGCGUCUCAUUUCACUCGUUGUUUCAGUUUAGCUAGAAAAUCGCUAUAAGUUUGUUAUUUCCUGUUUUUGUUUUCUUUUUAGCACUCUGCCUGGGGCGGAUUAAAUCCUGUAACAGUAGCAGCUGCCGAAGACUAGGGACUAGAGUUUUAUUUUGGAUUUUUACCAACUGAACAACAAUGUUGACGUACGCCAUAGUGAUCUUAUGCCUGACAGAUGUGCUGUCUAUCCCUACUGAAGAAUUCUGUGGGACAAACAGAAUGUGUCAACUAGCGUUCCAUGCUGGAUCCGUGCUCACAGGAAGCAACGACACCUGCUGGAUAUGCCAGGAAAGAUCUUUCCAGUUACGCGUGUUACCCUUACAACACCGCAAAGGACUCCGUCUGCGCUGCAGCGACACUAUGCACCACCCAACAAUGUUUUACAGAAACCAACACAAACAAUCGCCAACAGUUUUUGCAUGGGUUGUCUUUGAAUGUUAUGUUGACUGUGAUGGAUUCUGUGCGGUUCACAGAGACAAAGAGCCAAUUGAAUAGUGUGAUGACUAUGCUGAUGUUUUUCCUUUUAAAAAAAAAAUGACCAUGAUUCUGAAAUGCAACGAUAUGAUUGAGACAUGUUGAUCAAUUGCCAAUCGAUUACUGUAUAUCACUUUAAACGCUUUGGAAUUUUUUUUUCUUCUUUCUUUCUCUCGAUUUUUUUAGUCAUUUUUAUCUUGUUUAUUCGGCCAUGUUUUUGAUGCUUCUUGCUUUAUUAUUUUUGUUUUUUGUUUUCCCCCUCCUUUCUUCUCCUUCCUUUAUUCUUAUCCUACCUCUCUUACCCCUAACGCACAGAUUUGUUUCUUUUCCUCUUUCUCUCUUUCUUUUGUUAUUUUUGAAAGUUUGAAACUUUCACUGGGGGGUAAUGUUGUAAAAAAUAUUUGUAGAACAUACUGUAUACAAAUGUAAUCUUAACUUCAUUAGCCUGUCUCCCUCAUAUUUGCAUUAAUUGCUGUACUUGGUGAAGACCCGCCUCGACCAUUUGCAAAUCAAGUCUUUAGUCACGUACGACGGCCCAGCUUUUGUCUUAUGCCAGACUUCACCAUAGGUGGUCGGCGCCAAUGGAACUUUUCCACUGGCACAGACAUAGACCCUGCUAACAGAAUAUAAGGCUGUGAGAAACGACAAUCGGGAGGUGACUUGAGGCAACUUGUUUCAUGUUUCUCCUCCAAGCCGGCUUGUAAUAAACCUGGGAACGUUUCCCUUUCUUAACACA